AUUGAGCUGACGAGUCCUAAACAGGACGAAACGCGCGUCCUGGAU
rfam:Schistosoma margrebowiei strain Zambia genome assembly, scaffold: SMRZ_contig0002716